UGUGCCUUUAAUAUUGAGGUUGAGGUGCAGGCAAAAGGUGUCCAGAAAUUGUGAGACGUGACUGCAUUGACAUCCUCGGUCUAAAACGCCUGGCACCAUGUGGGAGCCUGGCUCCGCUGCCUCUCAACGCACUGGCUUGCUUUUUGCUUUUGAGUAGCUUGAAUAUCAAACCAAGCACAAAGGGAAUCAUACCCAGGAGUUGCUGGAAAAAGCUCAUUUCAUCCACCUCAUUCCCCCAUUCUCUCUGGCAGACACAACUGAUUUUUUUUUUUUUGAAGCCUGAAAAACUUCUCAUUUAAACUUGGGGUGCAAAAGGCAUGUGAAGUGGGAGAGUUGCUGCCUGGACCAGCGAAGGGUUAGCCAGGGAAGGAUUCAACGAAAUACAAAAGCCAACACAGACCUGAAGGGGAACAGGCGGCCCCAGCAACAACUGCCAAACUGUCAUUUUGCUCCGCGGCUGAACAGAAGGCUCGAGUAAUGACAACCACAAAACUCAUUUAAAGUCUGAAAAGGUGACUAAUGAGCUCAUUCAUGCUGGCUAUAAAUUAUUCACUACAACACUGAUCCCACUCAAGACAAACAGUAAAGUAAACUUUAAACACAGACAUCGCUGGCCUUCCAAAGUGGAACAAGUUAUGCCUGUAAAAGUUUUCACAAUGAGAGAGAUACUUGUCUCCCCCUUGUCUAUUGUCACAUUCGUUCUUCUGUUUACUUUUUUUUACUGCCUUUAAUCAAGUUUAAGCAGACACAGCUGUUACACAUUUAUUUCUCUGAGUUUUUUUCCAUUAGUUAUUACAAGCAAUCAUGAUGCUCUAAAAAUAGCAGCAAAUUAUAUUCUCUAGAAAUUGAAGGCUGACCUUAAAAUGAAGCCCAGGUCUUCAGAAAGAAUAUUCAUAUGCACAUGUUGGAUAAAUGACAACAAUGCACAAAGGCAAAAUAAAAGUACAAAGCUUUUUCCACUCUUUGAGAGGUUUUUGAUUUGCUUCCAAAUUUCCUUUGGUUCUGGUGGAAACAGGUUGCUUCAAAACCUUACCAUACAGAACCUGCUUCCAGUGGUCAUGAUUCCAGUUUGAAGGAUUUUCCUUCAAACUUACAAUCUUAAGGCAAUCAAAGAAGAAAUGUUUCAUUUAGGCUUUUUCAGCACAGAUAAACACAGCAGCAGGUUGCUGAAAACCCACCACAUUGCUGCAGACUACUUUCGGUUUCCUGUUUAAUAUUAAAUAAAGAAUUUUAGCUCUUCUGUUUUUAUAAACUGUGCUAUUUGCUACUACUGUCACUACUAAAAGCAUUAUGACUGGGUGGAUAAGUAGUCCUAUGAUUUUCAAGCCUUCUUUUUUCUUUAAUCUUAGUAUCUAUUUUGAAGACAUCGCGAGAGUUAAGAGUCUCAAAUCUGUUUAAUUGAUUUUUUUAUUUUUAAAAGGCCCAAAUAAGUACUUCCGUUAGCUCUUAGAUCUCUGAACAUUAUGUAUUUUUAAACCACUUUGAAUACUUUGAAAAGGGCCACAGAAAACACUCAUAUUCAAAUACCACCAGACGGAGGUUCUGCCUAACCAAAAGUAAAAGCAGAAAAGUUUAAAGCUGAAUUGUGCCCUGCACACACCUUGAGAUUGUAGGGGUGAAAUGAAUGGUCUUGGGCCGGGGAUCUUGCUAAAGGCAUGAUAAAUCAUGCGUUGCAGGCAAAUUAAGACCCAGGCUCUAACUUGAACCUCAGACUGUGCCAAACUCCAUCUCCAUUUAAGGAAAAUGGUUUUCUCAGUUUCUUGCACAUGACCUAAAGGCUUGUCCAGUCAUUUCCGUUGUCU